UACGUAGGGUGCAAGCGUUAAUCGGAAUUACUGGGCGUAAAGCGUGCGCAGGCGGUUUUGUAAGUCUGUCGUGAAAGUCCCGGGCUCAACCUGGGAAUUGCGAUGGAGACUGCAAGGCUUGAAUCUGGCAGAGGGGGGUAGAAUUCCACGUGUAGCAGUGAAAUGCGUAGAGAUGUGGAGGAACACCGAUGGCGAAGGCAGCCCCCUGGGUCAAGAUUGACGCUCAUGCACGAAAGCGUGGGGAGCAAACAGG
rnacentral:rRNA from 1 species